CAAUAGCGUAUAUUAAAGUUGUUGCGGUUAAAAAGCUCGUAGUUGGAGUUCUGCCAGGUGCCGCCUGUCCGCCCCAGUGGUGAGUACGUGGCGCGCAUUUGGCCCUUUCAAGGGGAGCGUAUCUGCACUUUAUUGUGUGGUGCGGGAUCCUUGACUUUUACUUUGAGGAAAUAGGAGUGUUCCAAGCAGGCUCUCGUCGUGCACAGCUCAGCAUGGAAUAAUAGCAUUGGACCUCGAUUCUAAGCUGUUGGUUGCCAGAAGCGAGGUAAUGAUGAAGAGGGAUAGUUGGGGGCAUUCGUAUUUAACUGUCAGAGGUGAAAUUCUUAGAUUUGUUAAAGACGGACUACUGCGAAAGCAUCUGCCAUGGAUGUUUUCAUUGA
rnacentral:rRNA from 1 species